rnacentral:rRNA from 1 species
GACGAACGCUGGCGGCAUGCCUAAUACAUGCAAGUCGAGCGAACAGAUGAAGUGCUUGCACUUCUGACGUUAGCGGCGAACGGGUGAGUAACACGUAAGGAAUCUACCUAUAAGCGGGGGAUAACAUUCGGAAACGGGUGCUAAUACCGCAUAAUAUCUUCUUCCGCAUGGAAGAAGAUUGAAAGAUGGCUCUGCUGUCACUUAUAGAUGACCUUGCGGUGCAUUAGUUAGUUGGUGGGGUAACGGCCUACCAAGACGAUGAUGCAUAGCCGACCUGAGAGGGUGAUCGGCCACAUUGGGACUGAGACACGGCCCAAACUCCUACGGGAGGCAGCAGUAGGGAAUCUUCCGCAAUGGGCGAAAGCCUGACGGAGCAAUGCCGCGUGAGUGAAGAAGGCCUUCGGGUCGUAAAACUCUGUUAUAUGAGAAGAACAAAUUGUAGAGUAACUGCUACAGUCUUGACGGUAUCUUAUCAGAAAGCCACGGCUAACUACGUGCCAGCCGCCGCGGUAA